rnacentral:rRNA from 1 species
GACGAACGCUGGCGGCGUGCCUAAUACAUGCAAGUCGAGCGGAGCUUAUCCUUCGGGGUAAGCUUAGCGGCGGACGGGUGAGUAACACGUAGGCAACCUGCCCCUUAGCCUGGGAUAACUACCGGAAACGGUAGCUAAUACCGGAUAAUUUCUUUUUUCUCCUGAAGAGAGAAUGAAAGGCGGAGCAAUCUGCCAUUAAGGGAUGGGCCUGCGGCGCAUUAGCUAGUUGGUGGGGUAACGGCUCACCAAGGCGACUAUGCGUAGCCGACCUGGGAGGGUGAACGGCCACACGGGGACUGGGACACGGCCCAGACUCCUACGGGAGGCAGCAGUAGGGAAUCUUCCGCAAUGGGCGAAAGCCUGACGGAGCAACGCCGCGUGAGUGAUGAAGGUUUUCGGAUCGUAAAGCUCUGUUGCCAGGGAAGAACGUCCGGUAGAGUAACUGCUACCGGAGUGACGGUACCUGAGAAGAAAGCCCCGGCUAACUACGUGCCAGCCGCCGCCGUAA